CUCACCCGUACUUCCCAUCACCUCUAGUACACAUGCCCAUUACCCAUCAUUUUCUUUGAUUUGUCCACAGCAAUCAAUUGAAGCUAACGCACCUCCAUCUACAGCCAUAGGCUCUGAUGGCACCAAAAUAAAAAACUCUGCUGCUGUACGGGAGGUUGGGGUUCAGGUCCAUGUCCAACCCCAGAUCCUACUGGUGGGGUGGCUGGGACAGUAGAGCAUUCGACUUCUCUUGAUCCGAUCACCUCUGAAAAAGAAAAAAAUAUCCCCAACAUACCACCAAAGGAGGGCACUCCUAACAUGAUGAGUGGGACUCCAAAGGCCAACAUGGCCACUCAGAGAGACCAGUCUGAGCCCUCCUU